rnacentral:rRNA from 1 species
GUGAGGAAUUUUGCGCAAUGGGGGCAACCCUGACGCAGCGACGCCGCGUGGAGGAUGAAGUCUUUCGGGAUGUAAACUCCUGUCAGUGGGGACGAUAAUGACGGUACCCACAGAGGAAGCACCGGCUAACUCCGUGCCAGCAGCCGCGGUAAGACGGAGGGUGCAAGCGUUGUUCGGAAUUACUGGGCGUAAAGCGUACGUAGGCGGCAAGUUAAGUUCAAUGUUAAAGCCCACGGCUCAACCGAGGAGAUGCAUUGAAUACUGGCUAGCUAGAGGGUGUUAGAGGAAGACGGAAUUCCCAGUGUAGCGGUGAAAUGCGUAGAUAUUGGGAGGAACAUCGGUAGCGAAAGCGGUCUUCUGGGACACACCUGACGCUGAGGUACGAAAGCGUGGGGAGCAAACGGGAUUAGAAACCCUGGUAGUCC